rnacentral:rRNA from 1 species
UACGUAGGGUGCAAGCGUUGUCCGGAAUUAUUGGGCGUAAAGAGCUCGUAGGCGGUUUGUCGCGUCUGCUGUGAAAACCGGAGGCUCAACCUCCGGCCUGCAGUGGGUACGGGCAGACUAGAGUGCGGUAGGGGAGAUUGGAAAUUCCUGGUGUAGCGGUGGAAUGCGCAGAUAUCAGGAGGAACACCGAUGGCGAAAGGCAGGUCUCUGGGCCGAUACUGACGCUGAGGAGCGAAAGCGUGGGGAGCGAACAGGAUAGAUACC